CCUACGGGAGGCAGCAGUAGGGAAUCUUGCGCAAUGGGCGAAAGCCUGACGCAGCAAUGCCGCGUGCGGGACGAAGGCCCUAGGGUCGUAAACCGCUUUCAGUAGGGACGAAAAUGACGGUACCUGCAGAAGAAGCUCCGGCCAACUACGUGCCAGCAGCCGCGGUAA
rnacentral:rRNA from 1 species